UACGGAGGGUGCAAGCGUUGUUCGGAUUUACUGGGCGUAAGGCGCGCGCAGGUGGGUGAACAAGUCGGAAGUGAAAUCUUGAGGCUCAACCUCGAGGCUGCUCCCGAAACUGUUCGCCUAGGGACUGGUAGAGGCUGGUAGAAUUCCCGGUGUAGCGGUGGAAUGCGUAGAGAUCGGGAAGAAUACCCGUGGCGAAGGCGGCCAGCUGGGCCAGAUCCGACACUGAGGCGCGAAAGCGUGGGGAGCAAACAGG
rnacentral:rRNA from 1 species